rnacentral:rRNA from 1 species
CCUACGGGCGGCAGCAGUGGGGAAUAUUGGGCAAUGGGCGCAAGCCUGACCCAGCAACGCCGCGUGAAGGAAGAAGGCUUUCGGGUUGUAAACUUCUUUUAAGAGGGAAGAGCAGGAGACGGUACCUCUUGAAUAAGCCACGGCUAACUACGUGCCAGCAGCCGCGGUAAUACGGAGGUGGCAAGCGUUGUCCGGAUUUACUGGGUGUAAAGGGCGUGCAGCCGGGAAGACAAGUCAGAUGUGAAAGCCCGCGGCUCAACCGCGGAACUGCAUUUGAAACUGUUUUUCUUGAGUACCGGAGAGGUCAUCGGAAGUCCUUGUGUAGCGGUGAAAUGCGUAGAUAUAAGGAAGAACACCAGUGGCGAAGGCGGAUGACUGGACGGCAACUGACGGUGAGGCGCGAAAGCGUGGGGAGCAAACAGGAUUAGAUACCCUAGUAGUC